rnacentral:lncRNA from 1 species
GCCGGCUGAAAUAUUGAGAUCAUGAGAGCUUCAAUGAACAACAAAAACACUAAGACAUGCCUCCAAUUUUCAGUGUUUGGUUGGUUCAGUAAGGAAGUAGCUGAAUAUCAAUAAGAACAUGUUUUAUCUUAAUAAAUCAUUAAAGAUAAAUGUGAAAAGGGGGAAAAAAACUGGAUGAAACAAAUUGCUGCUUUUUUUUUUUUUUAAUGGGGAGAAAUUAGCUCACCUGGAUGAUGAGAUUACAGAUGCCGGUCUUUCUUGAAAGAGGGCAUGAACAGGAUCACAUAAUUUGAACAGAUUUAAUCUACCGGGGGUGUGAUUUGUAAAUUUAGAACCUUCUCCAUUUCAAUGAGCAACAAGAGUUUAAAAGAAGGGAUUAGAAAUCAAAUAGAGGUAAAAUGGCAGUGUUGUGCCAGAUUUCCGACGAUCCUCGCUGGAGCCAAUUUCAAAUGGGACUUGUUUUGCAGGAAUGCAGCUCCGAUGAUCUCCAAUCUGCUCCAGCUAUAUUCGUACGCGGCAACAGAAGAUUCUCGACCGCGUACGGAUAUAGCUAGAGCAAAUCGGAGACCACCAGAACGAUGUUCCUGCAAAAUAAGUUCCGAUCGAAAUUGACUUUGACGAAGAUCUUUCAAUGAUCAGGAAUCUAACACGACAGGCAGAUUAAGGAACAAACCGAAUGUGGAUAGCAUGAUCCAGUGAAGCGAACUUGCGGUCAACAAGGCAGAGAAAGGUAAUUGAUAUAAUUAAAAAAACUAUCUGACCCCCUUCUUCAAGGGAAUCAUCAAAACAUUUAUGAACAUGGUAUCUGCUUAUACCAUUCCUACCCGUUUGGUAAGAAAUAUUUUCCUUCCUGAAGUCCUUCCCAGGCCUUGAGCUUAUAAGAAUAAUGGGAAGAAAGUAAUGGAACUUCUAUGCCAUGCUUUGAAAAAAAAAAAAAGGCACAACAAACAAGUACUAAAUAGUCAAAGAGCAGCAGAACAGUGCUUACAUACAUAUGUAUGCAUACGCUUAGACAUAAACACAUACAUGAAUUCAUUUACUUUUAUCAGACUACUAUAUAGGAUUAUAAAUCACUUCAACAACAUCAAUUCAUUUGGAAACAUGUUCAUCAUCAUCUAGCAUGUGACAGGAAUAAACUAAGCACAUGUUUGAAUAGGUUAAUUAGAGCAAGCAUGCCCACCACUUCGCAUGUCAAAUUACAUUUAUCAGUAAGCAGAUUUUUGUUUAAUGAACUGCACAAUAACAGCCAAUGAUAUUUUGAAAGAGGGAAAAAAUAAAAAGAAAAAGGAACGACCAAUAUACACUGCAAGAAGUCAUAUGCACCACUUUUAACAUACCAAAUCACCAUUCAAGUGCCUUAAAAUGGAUAAGAAGAUAGAUACAAUUAAAAGAACAAGUCACUAAGCACAUGGGAAAAGAACAAGUCUUGACGGAGUAAAUGGCUGAAAAAGAGGGGAUGAGGAACUGCUCACCUUGACAAAGAGAGUCUUGAUGCCCAAAAGCAUUUCAUGGGAGAGGGCGAUUGAUCGCCCCGAGAGUCUUCUCGGCGUGGAAGACAAGGAGGGUUGAUCAAAGGGAUCAGAUAUCUUUUAACGGAGAAAAAAAGGUCAGGGAUAGGGAUCGAGAGUGGGUGGAUACCGUCGUGGAAAAGAAAAACGAGAGCAGACUCGGGCGCUCAAGAUCCCACAUUGGGCGCUGCGAACAGCGGAGCGAACGACGGCCGUCGCCAUAGCGCUUGGCUACUCCGUUGGCCGACUCAAGAACUCGAGGUGGGGGGG